rnacentral:rRNA from 1 species
GAUGAACGCUGGCGGCGUGCUUAAUACAUGCAAGUCGAACGGAAAGGCGCUGCUUUUGUGGGGUGCUCGAUUGGCGAACGGGUGAGUAACACGUGAGUAACCUGCCCUUGACUUUGGGAUAUCUUCAGGAAACUGGGGCUAAUACAGGAUAGGAUCUCCUGCUGCAUGUGGGGGGUUGGAAAGUUUCGGCGGUGGUGGAUGGACUCGAGGCUUAUCAGCUGGUUGGUGUGGUAGUGGCGUACCAAGGCUUUGAGGGGUAGCCGGCAUGGGAGGUUUGACAGCGACCUGGCUACUGAGGUACGGAGCAGUCUCCUACCGGCGGCAAUAGGCGAGAGUAUUGCGGAGCGGGGGGAAGCGAGAGAUGGAAGCGCCCCGUGCGGGAUGCUCGGCUACGGGUUAAGAACAACUUUGUAAUGUACCAAGCCCUGAGUGACGGUAAUGAAUCAAAAAGCACCGGCUAACUACGUG